rnacentral:tRNA from 19 species
AGGGGUAUCGUCCAAUGGUUAGGACAGUGGUUUUUGGUGCCAUCAAUGUGGGUUCGAAUCCUACUACCCCUGCCA